rnacentral:rRNA from 1 species
GACGAACGCUGGCGGCGUGCCUAAUACAUGCAAGUAGAACGCUGAAGAGAGGAGCUUGCUCUUCUUGGAUGAGUUGCGAACGGGUGAGUAACGCGUAGGUAACCUGCCUUGUAGCGGGGGAUAACUAUUGGAAACGAUAGCUAAUACCGCAUAACAAUGGAUGACACAUGUCAUUUAUUUGAAAGGGGCAAUUGCUCCACUACAAGAUGGACCUGCGUUGUAUUAGCUAGUAGGUGAGGUAACGGCUCACCUAGGCGACGAUACAUAGCCGACCUGAGAGGGUGAUCGGCCACACUGGGACUGAGACACGGCCCAGACUCCUACGGGAGGCAGCAGUAGGGAAUCUUCGGCAAUGGGGGCAACCCUGACCGAGCAACGCCGCGUGAGUGAAGAAGGUUUUCGGAUCGGAAAGCUCUGUUGUAAGUCAAGAACGAGUGUGAGAGUGGAAAGUUCACACUGUGACGGUAGCUUACCAGAAAGGGACGGCUAACUACGUG